GUAACACCAUUAUUUUUGUAACUUAACAUUUCGUUUAUUGUUUACAUUCUGUUUGUUUACUUUGUUAGUCUUGUCAAGUAUCAGCUGUCAAAUUCGACACACAGGAUAGAUUUUCAGUUGUUGUCUGUGGUCCUUUGAGAAAACUCGUGCUAGAUCGUCAUCGGACAGUGGUCAGUGGCGACAUGACGCUCAGAACAAUGAUCGUGCUGACUGGCCACAGAGUAGUUUUGUGACGAUGAGCUGACAUCCCCGGUGACGGCUUUUUCGGAACUGGCAAGGAGGCAAACCAUUAUCUGUCAGAACGUCUGGAGUAAAUGUGUGGUUAGAUUUUUCUUCCCGCCCGCGUGGCGCAGGCCGUAUUGGUACCAAGUUCCUUGCUUCAUAUUUCCUGUUACCAGAUACGUGCCACAGACACCCACGCAGCAUCACACCAUGUGUACCUAACCUGAAUUGCCGACAAUUUCAAUCCUGCCCGGUGAAGCGUGCGAUUGCCAGACGCGUGUCACCUGACCCCAACCUCCAAGAAGGUGUCGUUGGUGACCAGAGCCGUCAGCGAGCCACGAGCCGUCCGGAGCUCCUGUCCUGGCCCCGUCCGACAGUCCAGGUUGGCCGUUGUAUGUUCGUUGAGCGGAUACUGAGGAAUUUCCUUAGGAUUUCCAUUAAUCUUCAGCGGCAUCAGCCUUCUAACGCCGCUGCUGAAUGUAGGAUUGCAAAGGCAGAACCCGGGUGGACUCUAGCGGGUUAAAACCUUUAUUUUAUUUUUUUUACUUCGUAGGGAGCCCCGUUAGAACGGGCAGUAGUAUCUAAAUUGCACUUUGAACCUUUUGUAGGCGCUAGGCUAUCAACGUCCUUCGGUUACGGGGCCUUAAUGUUAAACUGCUAUCCCAUUGAAGUAAUAUAGAAGUUUCUCUGGGGUUAAUACCAUCUUUCUAUCCCUGUGGCGUGAAACACAGGGGUAGAACCUUUGGUCUCCCCACUUUAAUGUAAUUUCCUUGCAAUACCUUGUAUACUUCAACCAGACAAUUAUAAGGACUUAAUCCCUGGUCUCAUUUUAGACCUAUUUGAGUUAUAAAAUAUUGUGUGAGGCAGGGUUUUGAUAAAUAAAUAUUAAUAACUGUACCACA